AGGGAGGGACCGAGGGGGGGGGGGCGUCCCGGGGUGUCCCCAAGUGUCCCGGGGUGUCCACGGGUGUCCCCAAGUGUCCCGGGGUGUCCAAGGGUGUCCCGUCCCCGCGGUCUCGGGGCUGGUGUCUCCUCCGGCGGUGCUGCGGAGCGGCGCGGGCUCCUCUCUCCCGCGCGCGGUUCCUCGCUGGAAGCCCGUCCCGCGGGUCCAUGAGGGUGUCGCCGCUCUGAGGGAGCCCGAGAGCAAGGAAAAACAAUUCAACGAUGAAACGUGAAGAAUUUUUGGAAGUUGUGUCUAAAGAGUCAAUUGAAGACUUCCUGCAUUACACUCAGAAUCCUAAAAAUACAGUUGAUCGUUUUGACUUGAACGAACUCCUUCAGGAGUUGCCAAGAAAAAAAAAGGAAGUACUAUGGGAGAGACUGACACAGCUGUUGACAGAGAACUUGAUGGAGAGCCCUGUGGAAACGUGGCAGAGGACUGGAGAUGACAAAAGUGAUGAUCACAUGGAAGUCGAGAUAACUCCAGAAAUUAAACAAACUGUAGCAGUGAUCCAAGGAGUGACAGCUGUCGUGACUGCUUCCAUACCUGCGGUGGAUGAAAAUGUCAACUACAAAGCUCUUCUAGAAUGUGUUUUUAUAUUAAAUGGUAUUCUUCCUGCAUUACCUGCAUCUGAAAAAAUCCUACAGGAUGCUAUCCAACAUGUAUGUGAAACGUGGUGGCAGAAGGGACUGGAAGGGAAGGAGGUUCUGGGGAAGACUCUAUUUAUCAUCCUGCUAAGAAAAAGCCUGAAUAAAGCUGCUGUGGGUGCAGAUAUAGUUCGUCUGUGGAAUCUACAUCAGGCAUUACUUUGUUUUGAUUAUGAUUCAGAGGAGAGUAAUGAAGUCAAAGACUUGUUGCUUCAGUGUUUUAUGAGUGUAAAACACAUUAAGAAAGAAGAGGGAAGAAGAUUCCUGAGUUUUUUGUUCAGCUGGAAUAUAAACUUCAUUAGGAUGAUACAUGGAACUGUUAAAAACCAAUUACAGUUCUUUCCAAGAUCCUUGGUGGAAUACCUUGCAGAAGUUUACUUCAGAUCCUGGAAGAAGGUAUCAGGAGAAUUCAUAGAGGAACUGGAACAUAACUGCAUCCAGGAUUUCAUGCAUCAUGGAAUUCAUCUUCCCAGAAGUUCUUCUGUUCAUUCUAAAGUUAGAGAGAUGCUGAGUUAUUUUCAUAAGCAGAGUAGAGUUCGUCAAGGAGUAGAAGAAAUGCUCUAUAGAUUGUAUCAGCCUAUCCUUUGGAGAGCACUGAAGGCCAGAAACUCAGAAGUUCGAGCAAACGCAGCAUUUUUGUUUGUUGAUGCUUUUCCUCUUCGUGAUCCCAGUUUUGAUGCUGAAGAGAUGGACAAUGAAAUUCAGAAACAGUUUGAAGAGCUUUUUAGUCUGUUAGAAGAUCCUCAUCCAGUUGUCCGCUCUACAGGGAUACUUGGAGUUACUCAGAUAACAUCCAGAUACUGGGAGAUGAUUCCUUCAGUAAUUGUUGCUGAUCUUUUAAAAAAGAUAACUGGGGAGCUGGCAUGUGAUGUAUCAUCUGCUGAUGUUCGAUGCUCUGUAUUUAAGUGCCUACCAGUAAUUUUGGACAACAGCCUAAGCCAUCCAUUACUGGAACAGCUCCUGCCAGCGACCAAACACAGCCUUUGUGACAACUCGGAGAAAGUGCGAGUGGCUUACGUCGAAAUGCUGCUGAAAAUUAAGGCUACCAAGGCUGCUAAGUUCUGGAAUAUCUGUCCCAUGGAGGAUAUUCUGACUCGUCUUGAGGUGGAUUCACGGCCCGUGUCACGGCGCAUAGUGAACCUCCUGUUCAACUCCUUCUUUCCCACUAACCAGCCCGAGGACGUGUGGUGUGAGCGCUGUGUCACUCUGAUCCAGAUGAAUCCAGCAGCAGCCAGGAAGUUCUAUCAAUAUGCUUAUGAAUAUACUGCCCCCACCAAUAUAGCUAAAUUGAUGCUCACCAUUCGGCGCUGCUUGAACGCCUGCAUCCAGAAAGCAAGGAAGGAGAGUCUGGGUGAUAGCAGUGAGGAUAACAAUGAUGAAAGCGAAAAGGAGAACACAAGUGUGUUGGAUAAUGUGUUGUCCAUAAAUGAUGUGGCCAGCAUGGCAAGUUUGUUGGAGAUUAUUGUAAUUCUCUGGAAAAGUAUCUACAAAGCACUAGAACACAAUGAAGAGGUCAAAGAUUAUGCUAUCAGGAAAUUUGCUUCUGUACUUCCUGAAUAUUUUAAAGUAUUUAAGGACGAGCGUUGCAUGACUCCAUUGGUUAUUCUGGCAUCCUUUAUGCCUAUUGCUUCUGUUCCUACAUUCAGCUGUGGUGUGAUUUCCAGACUCAGAAAUAUUAACAGUGGAGCUGACCAAAGCAAAUAUUCUACCCUGAUCGACUGCAUGUGUCGCUGGGGUCAAGUGGGGCAUAUUAUGGAAUUAGCCUGUGAUUGGUUGUCUGACACACUGACCCCAAGAAAGAACAUUAAAACAUCUGGACGCCGAGUGCAGAUCCACGUAACACAGGCAUCAAAACCAGAACUGGCAAUUGAUUACAUUGACUAUUUAUUGACUCAUCCUGUCAAUCGUGAUUGCCUCCUUUCUGUUCAUAAAAAGAAACUGAAGAAACUUUUGAAAAUCCUCAGUGCUGCAAAGAGGGUUCUUGGGUCAAUCCUUAAAGGAACUAAUGCAGAUUCUGGUAGCUGGAAUCAAGCAACCAGUCUAAGAGCCUUCAGCCUCUUUUGCAGAUUGAGUAUUCAUCUUCAGCACAAGUUUUCUGGAGAAGGAGAUUGCCUCUCACUUUUGAAGGAGACAGGUGCUUGGAUAGAAAGUCAAGUUGUACCUUUUAUACUAUCAAGUGAUCAAGAGGAUGGUAUUUCAAAACACAGUAGUGUUUCUGAAUUAAUUAUCCAGGCCUACCUGACAGUGUGUAAAGAUGUCAUAAUGGUUGGCCUUGGAAAUCUCACGUUUCAAGCACAUGUUCUAGAUAUGGCUCUUCCAAUUAUACAGACAGACAGAGGUGGCUUUUGUGCUCCAGUAUUACUGUGUGCUCUAAAAGAAAUUGUUGAAGCUUCUUUAACUCAGAAUACUGAGACAGAUGAAGUGGCAAAUCUUUUCCACACUGUACAGAACGUCUUACAGAAAGUUUUGGAAUGUGUGGCACAUAGACUCAAGAAACAGCAGGAAGAAGGGAUUCAGUUGAUUCACUCUAUUCAGAUGCCUCUUGGAGAAUUCAUUCACGCACUGCAGUGCUGGCAUUCAUCAUUCCCAGCAGUGCACCAGGGUGUACUCUCCACUCUCCUGGCUGCAGUAGUAGCAGACAUAAAUUGUGUGCUACAGAUGGCUUCCAGUGAAAAAGAUGUCACUAUACCAAAGACUGUUUCAGACCUUCCCCCUCUUUCAAGCAGUUUAAUGGCCAUAAUUAUGAAGUCGGUUAAUGUUGUCAGGUCAUUUUUAAAUGAAUUAAUGGAAUGCAUUCUCUCUGAAGAAAUUAAAGGGAUUUUUAGUCUAACAGCUACUGUCAGUAUUGUGAUGAUAAUUAAAGAUAAGCACAAACCUGCACUUCUAAAGGAUGUUGCACCUGCCCUUCGAGGGAAGCUGAUGGAGUGCAAUGAGGCCACCGAGGGAUCCAGCAGCACUGAAAGAUUCCUGUGUGAAUCAUCUCUGAAAAUUUUGGAUGAAUUUUUAAAUCCUUGUCCACGCCAAGGCUUUUGUCAUGCAUAUUAAAGGAAGGAAGACAUAUUGCUUUUUAAAAAAUAUUAUCUUGUAAAAUUAUGAAUAAGUAAAGUUUAUUUUCUGCUAUGCUGUACAUUUAAAGCAAGGAAUAUGUAUAAAGAAGAAGAUUUAAUAGGAACCUCCAGAAAACAAUUCAGCCACAGAUUGAAAUAGCAUUUGGUGACCAGCUCAGACCUGGACAUGUAACACUUGGUUACCUGCAAUGAAGUGAAGUGGUUCUCAGUGUGGGCCUGUGCAAAUGGAUGCUGAGACCUCCAAUGUUACUGAGUGGCACUGAAACAGGAGUUAACCAGUUUGACCAAAUUAAGACAGGCUCCUCACUCUUGAUUAAGAUCAGUGCACAGAGCUGUACCCCCGUCUGUCUAAACAGGCAUCUGCUGAGCUGGUUUUCUUUCUCUGGUAAGAGUGUAAGAUUUUUUUCAAGGAUCAAUGAAUUACCUUCAUCCUGCUUUACGUGAGGUCCUUACUUGACCUUGGUAUGUAAAACUUCCCUGCUGGAUAAAAGCUGAUUUAGCUGGAAUGUUGAUAUUUAACAGCAAUAAGAUUCUUAAUAAACAACAGUCAAGCUUUGUAACAGGACAGUCGGUAUGUGCAUGGAUUCACGAGUUCCAGAUUUACCUCAUCCCCAACAGUGGCCUGACCAAAAGGACUAAUCCUGCCCCAGCAGGAAGCUGCAGUUCUGCCAACUGUUUAUCUAUCAGCAUCUUUAUAAAAACUGUGUUCUUUGGCCUUCAUUCUUCUACAUCUGUUAACAGGCAGGUGUUCCGGUAAUGACCUUUUAAAUCUUCUGAUUAUACAAAUUACUUAAUGAAUAUGUAAAUAAGUUCCUUUUUUUCUGCUUCUCAGUCUCUCAGUAUUUGCUCAUAUUAUUAGAUGAGAAAAGAAUCCAAAAUUACUGCCUUGUUUUCCCUCAAUGUAUGAUUUUGCUUUUUCAGUUUUCAUGGAAUUCAUGUACAGAUGUAAUAUCCCUGCAUCUGAAAGAAAUAAAGGUCAUUCCAUCAACAUCAGAAAUAUGCAGAUUUCUUCUGAAUAACUCAGAGGUGAUACUGCUAGGAAGGAUGUCUGCUGUUGUCAGAAUUUAAGAAGUUAAGGUUAUACUAAGAGUGAAAAAGAAGGAUAUGCAAUGAAAUUGAGAACUGUUUGAUGCAAGAAAAUGAGAGAACUUAUCAAGGGAUCUGAUUGCAGCUUCCUGAGUCCAUGAUUGGAUCUACGCUGGAAUCGACAGCAGUGUUUGGCUCGGGAGCCAUCCAUCACAGGUCAACCAGCCUCUGGGGGA